CUUUUUGGUGCAAGAGGCCUAGCUCUUGGCCUAUCUCAGCUUUUGACAUGUCUUGCUUACUAAGCUUAAUCAUUUCUAGCUUUUGAUUGAAAGUGAGAGAUGUGAAACACUUUUUUACACUUGAACAUUGCAGUGUUAUUAAUUGGCUUGAUUUCAAUAUUGUGUCUCAGGGAUAGGGAGGACUAACAAAAGGAAGAAAGACAGAAGAAUGACCAAUUGGUGGAGCAGUCAGAACACACCAACAUUUGUCUAUUAAGUUCAUUGUCUUAUAUGCAUGUGGCUUGUGGCACCCCAAAACAAUUAUAAUAGUAACAUCAAAGAUCAUUGAUCGCAGAUAACUAUACCAGAUAUAAUAAUAAUAAAGUUUGAAAUAUUGCAAGAACUACCAAAAUGUGAGACAGAGACACAAAGUAUGCACACACUGUUGGGAAAAUGGCACUGAUCGUCUUGCUCAAUGGAGGGUUGACAGAAACCUUUAAUUUGUAAAAAACACACUAUAUACAAAGUGUAAUAAAAUGCAAUAAAAUAAGGUGUGCCUGUACAUUCUUAUGACAGCCCUAGGAAAUUUUACUAGGGGGUGAAAAAAAUCUUACUCUUUUUAUGUCUAAAGAACAAAUAUACCUACAGUACAUAAACAUCAAUCUCAUACAUCUAUAUAUAGCUAUAUCCAUGUUACUAAGAUUUCAUAGGCAGGAAGAGAUUAGAAAAAAAUGUCUAAACAAGCUCUUUAUUCAGCUAUAAUAGAUAAAAGGUUGAGAAAUCCUGCUCUAGGCUGUGAAGAAUUUGAGGAAGCCUGGGGGACCGGAAGACUAAUUUAGUCAAAGGCUACUUUCUACUGCUGUUAAAUUGCUGUUCUUGUUCUUGGCAUUUAAAAUAAAGAUUUCUGAUUGUUUCUUCUUCCAUUCUGGCUCAGAUACAAUUAUCACAAAUUCCAGAAAAAAAAAUCUGACUAUCUACUUGUAAUAGGAUUUGUCUUAAAAUGAGGCAGAACAAUCACUGGCAAUGUGCCAAUUUUCAGUUUUGGGUCUCUUUGUUACAUGUUCUCUUCUUGCCACAGUUAUUGUUGUAAGGCAAUGGAUUUUACUUUUGGUCUCUGGAAUUGCCAGUUUUGUCUCACAACUUUGAUGUCUAUAGGAAGACUAAAGGUAGCUGGCUAUUUCUCCAUUAGCCCGCUUUUUACUUCUGACAUUUUACAUAUAGCUAUAAGGAAAUUGUUUAUGGUUGUUCAUCAUACUGCCCUCCAGGAAAGCCAUGGAGUUAGGUCAUAUUCUAUAAAGACCAUGCAGUGAGCUGCCUGUUCUGGCCUGCUUCGAGUCUCAAACAGAGAGAUGGUUGGCACAGCUCUAACUUUGUUAGGGAUAUUGACAGAAACUACUUGGCAGUCGAUGCAAAAUGGAAGUCACUAGGGAGCUCCCAAAGACGAGUAACCCUGAGUCUUUAAUGUGCUUGAUUUACGUCUCCAAAUUCUUUACAGUGAAUUACAAUGAGUGCAAUGAUGUUAGCUGGGUAGAUCUUGACAGGCAUUACCCACCACUUCCAUUGUAGUAGACUCUUAAUCAUCAUGACUCCUCUGCAAUGUUUCAGUUGGAACACAACUGCCUCCAAAUGGGUGUGUGUGGUUAGAGUUACAGGAUAUUAAAUGUGAUCUUUCUUUUCAUUACAGAGUUUCAGCUGAGAACAAUAGGACGAGACCACCUACGUAGGAUGGGCUAAGCAUCGUGAGACAGGUGCUGCAGUCCUUUACUCAUCACAGUGGGACAAGCCUGAGGAUUUGUUAGAGAUUGGGAAGUGGGAGCUUUUUAGAAAAAGACUUGAUGUGCUGUGGCAUUUCUCCCUCCCUUCCCACUGGGAAGUGGGAAAGAAGUAGGAAGUCAUUCUCCAGUGUAAUGCUCCCCCAACUGAGCUAUUUCAGCUGCCAAUGUAGGAAGUCACUCUCAUAUUAAGCCACAUGAGCAUGGGUUUCAGGUCUCAGAGAGCUUCAUAGGUAUACUUUGGAGUUUGAAAAACAGAAUCUAGAACUGCCCCAAACCUGAUACUGUCAAAAUGUGAGAUGCUGGCUGGCUGGCCAGAGGAGCAAUUGGUGGCAGAUUGAAGAAGGCUGCCUUGAAAGGCUUCCACUUGAAAAGUGUGGAAGGGCAAAAAUGCAUAUCUUCUUCCCAUGUGUUAGAUAUGGAUCCAUCAGAAGGGAGGAGGUCUCAGGUUACCUGGAGGGAUAAAGUGAUGCCACCAGAGGGGAUGACAGGGUGUCACUGAGGGCCAGAGGAUGUCCUAGGAACAUGCUACAUUAGGGAACUACAGUAGGAGGACCCCAGGAAAGACACCUCAGAGGAACCCAAGAACAAGCCCUGGAGAGGAGGGACUGGCUUUGGUCCACUGCCCCAUCCCCAGAGGGCACCAAUGUAAAUAACAACUAUAGCAGUCAAAGGAGCCAUUUUCUGCCCCUCACCCUCUUUGCCUUUCGAGCCCUAAUACUGGAGAAGCCAGCGCAACAAAGCAGAAGAGAAAGAGUGGAAGACUGAGAAAAUAGAGGCACUGAUGUCUUAGAGGACUUAACUUCUAUCUGCUGUCUCCUGAAGAUACUCAAGGAUCCUCAGAAGCCACAUUUUUCCUUUCCACCCAGAAAUUAUUUUCCUAAGCAUUCUGCUCCUCCUCUGACCUGGAAGGGUCUGCCAUCUUCUUCCAGUCAUUUUCAAGCUUCAGAUCCUACCCUAUUGAAGCUCUGUUCUGUUUUGCUCUCUACCUGCAACAUACUGGUCUUAGGAGCAGGUGCUCUGACCCCACCUUUCAUGCCUGAAGCAAAUACCACAAUAUUCCAGAGGCAGGAUUCUGUCACCCUUAUUGUCCAAAGAAAGCACCAGAAUCAUCCCACGCCGUGGCUCAACUCAAAACCACUUAGGGACUAAGCCUCAAGUGCUACCCCUAAAAGGACAGGCUAUAGGACUUGCUGGGGUGGUGACUGUCUCUAAAAUAUUCUGGCCAAUCCACACCUCUGGAAAAUCUUUAAUUUCAAUAAAAUGAGCCUAUAUCUAACAUCUGUUAUCCAGAUUAACAAGACAUAAAUUUUAUCCAUGAAAAUGCUUUUCUGACAGUUGAUAUGUUAAUUAAUGAAGUUUCUG
rnacentral:lncRNA from 10 species